GCCUCGGCUAACUACGUGCCAGCAGCCGCGGUAAAACGUAGGAGGCGAGCGUUAUCCGGAUUUACUGGGUGUAAAGCGCGUGCAGGCGGUUCGUUAAGUUGGAUGUGAAAGCUCCCGGCUCAACUGGGAGAGGUCGUACAAGACUGGCGGACUGGAGUGUGGUAAGGGAAGGUGGAAUUCCGGGUGUAGUGGUGAAAUGCGUAGAUAUCCGGAGGAACACCAGUGGCGAAAGCGGCCUUCUGGACCACAACUGACGCUCAGACGCGAAAGCUAGGGUAGCAAACGGGAUUAGAGACCCCGGUAGUCCUAGCCGUAAACGAUGUGAACUUGGCGGCGGUUGGGUAAAACCGAUCGGUGCCGAAGCAAACGCGAUAAGUUCACCACCUGGGGACUACGGCCGCA
rnacentral:rRNA from 1 species